GUGUAGCUCAGCUGGUUAGAGCACUUCACUGAUAAUGAAGAGGUCGGAGGUUCGAGUCCUCCCACACCCACCA
rnacentral:tRNA from 1 species